GUUCUCUGAAACUCCUCAUUUAUUUGUCAAACAUCACCUGAAUGAAGAUAAGGCUCGACAAAUAUAAUAUAUAAUUUUUAUAUUUUCUUGACCAAAAAAGAGCAUGGAUUUUCCUGUGGAUUGGUCCUAGUGGAGAGAUGCAUGAACUGGGGAAUCAGAAGACUUGAGUUACAGGAUGGCUUUCACUCAAUCAGGCAAAAAGGAAGGAAGGAAAGAAGGAAAAAGGGAAGAAAGGAAGAAAGGAAAGGAGGAAGGAAGGGAAGAAGGAAGAAAAGAAGGGAGGAAAGAAGGAAAGAAGAAAAGAAGGGAGAUAAUGAUCUUCAAAUGAGGAAGGAGAGAAUAAAAAAAAUAAAUGGAGAAUUAAAAUCUAAACUAAGUGGGAAGAUGAUAAGAGAUCAUCAACUGUCCUCAAAAAAUUUGACUUCAUCUCACAAAGAAUUGGUAAGUAUAAUUACUGAGCUGCUGCCAGUGAUCUUUGAAAAAUCAUGGACAGUGGGAGAGCUUCCAAAGGAUGUUUUGAUUUUCAAAAAGGGGAGGAGACUAUAUCAUAUUCUUGGUUGGUG